rnacentral:rRNA from 1 species
AUACGGAGGGUGCAAGCGUUAAUCGGAAUUACUGGGCGUAAAGCGCGCGUAGGCGGAUAUUUAAGUCUCAUGUGAAAGCCCUGGGCUCAACCUGGGAACUGCAUGGGAUACUGGGUAUCUAGAAUACAGUAGAGGGUAGUGGAAUUUCAGGUGUAGCGGUGAAAUGCGUAGGGAUCUGAAGGAACAUCAGUGGCGAAGGCGACUACCUGGACUGAUAUUGACGCUGAGGUGCGAAAGCGUGGGGAGCAAACGGGAUUAGAUACCCUAGUAGUCC